GCGGGUAUCGUAUAGUGGUAUUAUGUAUCCUUCCCAAGGAUAAGACAGGGGUUCGAUUCCCCUUACCCGCUUCA
rnacentral:tRNA from 5 species